UAAAGCUUUAAGCGAUUUUAUUGUUAAUAAAAUAGAAGAAAGACAGAUAG
rnacentral:tRNA from 1 species